rnacentral:lncRNA from 1 species
CUCCUGAACUUUCCUCCUCUGCCUUUUGGCUGUCUUCACCCGUCUCCAUGUUUCUCUUCAUCGCUCCAGCUUCUCCUACUAUCCCUUCUUUCAUCGCUUGCUCCAUCGCUUUCUCUGUCCCUUCUGCUUCCACCCCCACAAACUCCACAUCCUUCUCGAACAGUGAUCUUUCCGUAGGGGACGACGACCCGUUUGGAAUCACAGGUUCGGUUUUUGCCUCGAGCAUUGGUGUGUCGAGGUUCAUCACGUUUUUAUUGUCCUCCUCAUCAUCAUCAUCAUCGAGGAAUGGGUUCAGACCAGUGCCACUCACUUGCAUAUCGGACGAUGGUUCGUCCCACCCAACCCAUCCGGGUGGCUGUUCUGAAAAAGCUUCUUCGGUUUUCUCCAACGUGUUGAAGUCAAAGAACCCCAUUGGACUCUCCAUUUGGAAGUUGGUUUCACCAUCCUUUGGAUUCCUGGUGAGAUCAUCGUCUUCUACUCCAACCACAACCUCGUCGUCGUCACUGCUGCUGGUGUUGGCAUUGAAGGUUCUGUUCAACUCCGCGUCCUCUAUUGUAUUGGAACCUGCUGGGUCGGGAGGCGUGCUGCUGAAUCUGUCGUCUUGGAAUGUGAACCAAUCUGAGUUUGUAAACAAGCUGCGGGAAAGUAAUGAGAAAGACUCGAGUCAUUAUCUAGACAGAUGUUCAUAAGUGUAUCAGCAAAAUGCAAAUAACUUACCUUCCUUGGUCAUCGCCGAGUCUUAAGGAUGAAAUUAUUACUUCAGCAGAUUCAUCAUCGAAGUAAACAUCCUAUGUAGCAUGAACCAAUUCCAAAUUUUCAAAAUAAUGUUAUUGAUGUAUAUCUAUCAGAGUGUGAUAAAAGAUGCAGAUACGUUUGUUUAAAGAAAAGGGGGGAAGAGGAAUUGUGGAAGACUUACAUCAUCAUCUCUGUCGAGAGCAAUGUGGUCCUGACCAAAGAAGAUAAAGAGAUGAUAAGAUUCAGUAUCAUUUAAAAUCGUUCAUAAAUGAGAGCACUUACCUCUCCAUUGUCACCGUUAUCAUACGUUUGGUACCUAAAGGCUUGGCUUAAAUUAUUGGCCAGAGCAGCAACAUCGUAAUCCUUGUCUUCCUCAUCGCUAUCUCUUAUCCUAUCUUGUACUGUGGUUGGGCGCCUGCAUUUAAAAGUGGGUUCAGCGUUCCACACCAGAAUGAUUCACGGAGUGAUAUCAAGAGCAUAAAGACAAGAGGGCUGGAGCAGUUUCUAGUUUUGUCUUUGAAGUUUGGUAUUCAAAAGUAGGGGUUAGUGGCUGUUUUAAAGGGGUUUAGUUUGAAGUUAGGUCUAUAUUUUAUAAAACAGAUACCUAACAAGACAGGAACAUGUUUUUUUCAAACUCUUACACCAAAUUUCAACUUAAAAAGUGUUCUUACAUAACACUCUCAUACAAAAUCACACUGUACAAGAUAAACUAACAAUCACUCCAAAACUCCGACAUCUUGAUCCACUUUCCAGUAGUUGUUAUCAUUGAACUCAUUCUCUCCUCCUGAACUUUCCUCCUCUGCCUUUUGGCUGUCUUCACCCGUCUCCAUGUUUCUCUUCAUCGCUCCAGCUUCUCCUACUAUCCCUUCUUUCAUCGCUUGCUCCAUCGCUUUCUCUGUCCCUUCUGCUUCCACCCCCACAAACUCCACAUCCUUCUCGAACAGUGAUCUUUCCGUAGGGGACGACGACCCGUUUGGAAUCACAGGUUCGGUUUUUGCCUCGAGCAUUGGUGUGUCGAGGUUCAUCACGUUUUUAUUGUCCUCCUCAUCAUCAUCAUCAUCGAGGAAUGGGUUCAGACCAGUGCCACUCACUUGCAUAUCGGACGAUGGUUCGUCCCACCCAACCCAUCCGGGUGGCUGUUCUGAAAAAGCUUCUUCGGUUUUCUC